GACGUAGGGGGCCAGCGUUGUUCGGAAUUACUGGGUGUAAAGGGUUCGUAGGCGGUGUAGCAAGUCGGGAGCGAAAUCUCUGGGCUUAACCCAGAGGCUGCUUCCGAAACUGCUGUGCUGGAGUGUGGGAGAGGCGCGUGGAAUUGCAGGUGUAGCGGUGAAAUGCGUAGAUAUCUGCAGGAACACCCGUGGCGAAGGCGGCGCGCUGGACCACUACUGACGCUGAGGAACGAAAGCUAGGGGAGCAAACAGG
rnacentral:rRNA from 1 species